rnacentral:misc_RNA from 1 species
AGGAUUUGGUUCAGUUUUUGAAGGAACUCUAAAUGAUGGCACCACCAAAAUUGCAGUGAAGCGUCUCAAUGGUUUGGGCCAAGUCAAAAAAUCAUUCUCGGCUGAGGUUGAGUCAAUUGGCAGAAUCCACCAUGUGAACUUGGUAAGGCUGCUUGGUUUUUGUGCUGAUAAAUCCCGCAGGCUUCUUGUUUAUGAGUUCAUGUCUAAUGGCUCCUUGGACAAAUGGAUCUUCCAUCAAACCCAUGAGUUUACUCUUGUAUGGCAGCAGAGAAAGAAGAUCAUCCUCGACAUAGCAAAGGGACUUACCUAUCUUCAUGAAGAUUGCACACAAAAGAUACUCCAUUUAGACAUCAAACCCCAAAACAUUCUCUUAGACAACACGUUUAAUGCGAAAAUCUCUGAUUUCGGGUUGUCUAAACUGAUUGAUCGAGACCAGAGUAAAGUUGUGACAACCAUGAGAGGCACUCCAGGCUAUUUGGCUCCAGAAUGGCUGAGCUCAGUAAUCACAGAAAAGGCAGACGUCUAUAGCUUUGGGGUGGUUGUCCUAGAAUUGUUGUGUGGAAGGAGAAAUGUUGAUCGCUCACAGCCAGAAGAACAGAUGCAUUUAAUAAGACUUUUUGAGAAGAAGGCAGAAGAGAAUCAACUGUCUGAUCUAGUUGAUAAUUGCAGUGAAGAUAUGCAGUUGCAUAAAGCAGAAGUAGUGAGCAUGAUGAAGGUUGCUGCUUGGUGUUUGCAAAAGGAUUAUACAAUGAGGCCUUCCAUGUCAAUGGUGGUUAAAGUCUUGGAAGGUGUUUCAGAAGUUGAACCUAAUCUAAACUACAACAUUUCCAAUCCAUCAUUCACAACAACAUCAACGCAAGUUACUCAAUUGUUGCCCUUUGUUCUAUCUGGGCCAAGGUGACAGUUCAUUGUUGCUUUUUUCAGUUGUUUUCUAUGCUGUGUGAACUUGCAGGAAAGAGAUUUUAUUUUCUGUUAGUGAACUGGAUAUGUGAAAGUAGGAGGAAUUUUACAGUGCAUAAGGUGCAUAUGUCCACCCACCAUCUAUAGUUUUGUGAAGGAUAGAGCACUUAAUUUAUGUGCUUCGAGAGUCACUCAGGUGAUAUGUUUCUGUUUUGUUUCUAAAUUCCCCCAUUCCUCCCCUUUUCGAAUGAAAGAAUAAGUGAAGUUUGUUAGAAUUUCCUAGAUAAAAGUCACUCAAUUUUCCUCCG